rnacentral:misc_RNA from 1 species
CAACCCUCAGGGCCCCCCGCGGGCGCCUGGCGUUGGGGAUUGGCAGCCAGCCAGCCCCUAAAUCUAGUGGCGGUCCCUCCGCGACCUCCCCUGUGCAGUAGCGAUACCUCGCAGCGGGACAGCGGUCUGACCACGCCGUAAAACCCCCUACUUCUCAA